GGUCCGAGCCACGUUGAUGGUAGUCAAUCCGGCAAUGACCAUCAAUGCUAUGAUUGGACCUAUAAAAAUUCUAUGUUUCGCAUCCUGAUAGGAAUCUGUUUACUGAUUUUAAACCAUUCAUUUACAGAGCCCUUUGUGCGAUUACAUUU